GACGAACCGUACGAACGUUAUUCGGAAUUACUGGGCUUAAAGGGUGCGUAGGCGGCGCAGUAAGUUGGGUGUGAAAUCCCUCGGCUUAACCGAGGAAUUGCGCCCAAAACUACUGUGCUCGAGGGAGAUAGAGGUGAGCGGAACUUAGGGUGGAGCGGUGAAAUGCGUUGAUAUCCAUAGGAACUCCGGUGGCGAAAGCGGUGUGCUGGAUCCCUUCUGACGCUGAGGCGCGAAAGCCAGGGGAGCGAACGGG
rnacentral:rRNA from 1 species